rnacentral:tRNA from 1 species
GCAGUGGUGGUUCAGUGGUAGAAGUCUUGCCUUCCAUGCAGGACACCCAGGUGCAAUUCUGGCCAAUGUA